rnacentral:rRNA from 1 species
AUUGAACGCUGGCGGCAUGCCUUACACAUGCAAGUCGAACGGUAACGCGGGGCAACCUGGCAACGAGUGGCGAACGGGUGAGUAAUGUAUCGGAACGUGCCCAGUUGUGGGGGAUAACUGCUCGAAAGAGCAGCUAAUACCGCAUACGACCUGAGGGUGAAAGCGGGGGAUCGCAAGACCCCGCGCAAUUGGAGCGGCCGAUAUCAGAUUAGGUAGUUGGUGGGGGAAAGGCUCACCAAGCCGACGAUCUGUAGCUGGUCUGAGAGGACGACCAGCCACACUGGGACUGAGACACUGCCCAGACUCCUACGGGAGGCAGCAGUGGGGAAUUUUGGACAAUGGACGCAAGUCUGAUCCAGCCAUGCCGCGUGCGGGAAGAAGGCCUUCGGGUUGUAAACCGCUUUUGUCAGGGAAGAAAAGGCUCCUUCUAAUAUAGGGGGCUCAUGACGGUACCUGAAGAAUAAGCACCGGCUAACUACGUGCCAGCCGCCGCGGUAA